rnacentral:rRNA from 1 species
AGUGAACGCUGGCGGUAGGCCUAACACAUGCAAGUCGAACGGCAGCACAGUAAGAGCUUGCUCUUACGGGUGGCGAGUGGCGGACGGGUGAGGAAUACAUCGGAAUCUACUUUUUCGUGGGGGAUAACGUAGGGAAACUUACGCUAAUACCGCAUACGACCUACGGGUGAAAGCAGGGGAUCUUCGGACCUUGCGCGAUUGAAUGAGCCGAUGUCGGAUUAGCUAGUUGGCGGGGUAAAGGCCCACCAAGGCGACGAUCCGUAGCUGGUCUGAGAGGAUGAUCAGCAACACUGAAACGAAGAAACGGUCCAGACUCCUACGGGAGGAAGCAGGGGGGAAUAUUGAACAAUGGGCGAAAGCCUGAUCCAGCCAUACCGCGUGGGUGAAGAAGGCCUUCGGGUUGUAAAGCCCUUUUGUUGGGAAAGAAAAGCAGCAGGUUAAUACCCCGCUGUUCUGACGGUACCCAAAGAAUAAGCACCGGCUACUUCGUG